rnacentral:rRNA from 1 species
UACGUAGGGUGCAGGCGUUAAUCGGAAUUACUGGGCGUAAAGCGUGCGCAGGCGGUUUGCUAAGAGAGAUGUGAAAUCCCCGGGCUUAACCUGGGAACUGCGUUUCUAACUGGCAGGCUUGAGUGUGGCAGAGGGGGGUGGAAUUCCACGUGUAGCAGUGAAAUGCGUAGAGAUGUGGAGGAACACCGAUGGCGAAGGCAGCCCCCUGGGCUAACACUGACGCUCAUGCACGAAAGCGUGGGUAGCAAACAGG